rnacentral:rRNA from 1 species
UACGUAGGGGCCCAGCGUUGUCCGGAUUCAUUGGGCGUAAAGCGCGCGCAGGCGGCCCGGUGUGCCGCCCGUGAAAUCCCCCGGCUCAACCGGGGAGGGUCGUCGGAGACUGGCGAGCUUGAGGGCGGUAGGGGCUGGUGGAAUUCCCGGUGUAGUGGUGAAAUGCGUAGAGAUCGGGAGGAACACCCGUGGCGAAGGCGGCCAGCUGGGCCGUCCCUGACGCUGAGGCGUGAAGGCGUGGGGAGCGAACGGG